GAUGAACGCUGGCGGCGUGCCUCAAACAUGCAAGUCGAGCGGGGCUAUGUAAUAUCGCAAGGUAGAACAUAGCCUAGCGGCGAACGGGUGAGUAACACGUGGGUAACCUGCCUGGAAGACAGGGAUAACGAUUCGAAAGGGUCGCUAAUACCUGAUAAUAUCCUUUCAUCGCAUGGUGAUAGGAAGAAAGGGGAAACCCGCUUUCAGAUGGGCCCGCGUCCCAUCAGCUGUUAAGGUAAGGUAAAGGCUUACCAAGGCGACGACGGGUAGCCGGUCUGAGAGGAUGUACGGCCACACUGGGACUGAGAUACGGCCCAGACUCCUACGGGAGGCAGCAGUUGGGAAUCUUAGGCAAUGGACGAAAGUCUGACCUAGCGACGCCGCGUGAGGGAAGAAGGCCUUCGGGUUGUAAACCUCUGUCAUGGGGGAAGAAGUAAGUGACGGUACCCCAAGAGGAAGCCCCUGCUAACUACGUG
rnacentral:rRNA from 1 species